UACGUAGGUGGCGAGCGUUGUCCGGAUUUACUGGGCGUAAAGAGCGCGCAGGCGGUCGUUCAAGUCGAGUGUGAAAGCCCCCGGCUCAACUGGGGAGGGUCAUUCGAUACUGAUCGACUCGAAGGCAGGAGAGGGAAGUGGAAUUCCCGGUGUAGUGGUGAAGUGCGUAGAUAUCGGGAGGAACACCAGUGGCGAAGGCGACUUCCUGGCCUGUUCUUGACGCUGAGGCGCGAAAGCUAGGGGAGCAAACGGG
rnacentral:rRNA from 1 species